rnacentral:rRNA from 1 species
UACGAAGGGGGCUAGCGUUGCUCGGAAUGACUGGGCGUAAAGGGCGCGUAGGCGGAUGGUACAGUCAGAUGUGAAAUUCCUGGGCUCAACCUGGGGGCUGCAUUUGAUACGUGCUGUCUGGAGUGUGGAAGAGGGUCGUGGAAUUCCCAGUGUAGAGGUGAAAUUCGUAGAUAUUGGGAAGAACACCGGUGGCGAAGGCGGCGACCUGGUCCAUUACUGACGCUGAGGCGCGAAAGCGUGGGGAGCAACAGG